rnacentral:rRNA from 1 species
GACGAACGCUGGCGGCGUGCUUAACACAUGCAAGUCGAACGAAGUGUCGAACGGGUGAGUAAUACGUGAGUAACCUGCCCUCCUUUUUGGGAUAAGCCUUGGAACCGGGGUUUAAUACCGAAUACAGGGUGAUGGGCUCUCUGCCUAUCAGCUUGUUGGCGGGGUGCUGGCCUACCAAGGCGGUGACGGGUAGCCGGCCUUAGAGGGUGACAGGCCACAUUGGGACGGUGAUACGGCCAAGGCGCAGACGGGAGGCAGCAGUGGGGGACAUUGCACAAUGAGCUAAAGCAUGAUGCAGCGACGCCACGUGGGAAAUGAAGGCUUUAGGGUUGUAAACAUCUUUAGCUAACGAACGGGUAGGUGGAGAAGAAGCGCCGGCUAACUACGUGCCAGCGGACGCGGUAAUUC